rnacentral:lncRNA from 1 species
AAAAAACAAUUAAGUGGUAUUUGCCUUAUUAUAUUUUAAACAUUUGAUACAAAUACUAUAUCAAAUCAAUAUGAUAUUACAGUAGGAAAACACAAAAAAAGUCAAUAACCUAUACAAAGAAUGUCCCCCUCUCUCUAUAUGAAUUUAAUACAUAAAAAAGGCUGGGCACAGUGGCUCACGCCUGUAAUCCCAGCACUUUGGGAGCCUGAGGUGGGCAGAUCACUUGAGGUCAGGAGUUCAAGACGAGCCUGGCCAACAUGGCAAAACGCUGUCUCUACUAAAAAUACAAAAAUUAGCCAGGUGUGGUUUUAUGUGCCUGUAAUCCCAGCUACUCAGGAGGCUGAGGCAGAAGAAAUCACUUGAACCUGGGAGGCGGAGGUUGCAGUGAGCUGAGAUGGCACCACUGAACUCCAGUGUCGGUGACAGAGCAAAACUCUGUCUCAAAAAAAUAAUAAAUAAUAAAAAUAUAUAAAAAAGAUGAUAGUUUACCUGGAGAGAGGGUGGAUUAUUUUUUAAAUGGCAUGGCACAACUGGUUGCCCAUCUGGAAUAAAAUAAAUUUAAACCAGUUAUUUACCAUAUUCAAAUAUAAUUUGUAGAUAGAAUAUGAUAGAACAUUUUUUUCUAGAUAUUUCAAGAAAAUCAAAUACCGUAUUUACGAUUUAGGAGGGGAGAGACUUUCUUAACUACAAAUGAAAACUCUGAAACCAUACAAGAAAUGGUAAACAUAUUUGAAUUUAAAGAAACAAAAAUAGGCCAGGGGUGGUGGCUCACACAUGUAAUUCUAGCACCUUGGGAGGCCAGCCUGGGCAACAGACACAGUCUCUAAAAAAUAUAUAUAAGAAAUUAGCCAGGCAUGCUGGCACAGCCUGUAGUCCCACCUACUAGGGAGGCUGACAUGGGAAGAUUGCUUUUGCUCAGGAGGUUGAGACUGGUGAGCUGUGAUCACAUCAAUGCACUCCAGCCUGGAUGACAGAGUGACACUCUGUCUCAAAUAAAGAGAUAGCUAGAUAGAUAGAUAGAUAGAUAGAUAGAUUAUAGAUUGAUAGAUGAUAGAUGACAAAAAUAAAAAUAAAAAACAAAAAAUCCCCUCAAUGGUCAAAAUUCCAAAUCAGCCAGUCAAUUUCUACAAUAUGCUACAUACAGUUGGCAAAAUCUACUGGAAUUUUGACUGAGAUUGUGUUUUAUCUAUGUAGCAAUUUUCAAAUAAUUGACAUCUUAACAAUAUUUCGUCUUUUAAUCCAUAAACAUUGUAUGUCUCACUAUUUAAGUUUUUGUUGUCUCUCAGAAAUACCUAGUAGUUUUCAGUGAAAAGGUUGUUCCAAGGUGAACAGGUCUAUGCAAACCUAUCCCCAAAGUCAGAAUGUUAUAAAUAAAGUUUCAGUGCCGCAAAAGAAAUCUCACUCGAAUGUAAAAUUUUCUUUUUACUUCACAGCAAGGCAAGGUACUUCUAUAGCAGGGUGCGCCCUUACAGAUGGAGGAAUGGUGAGCACACACUUGGACAAGGGAGGGGAAGGGUUUCUUAUCCCUGACGCACGUGGCCCCUGCUGCUAUAUUGUUCCCCUAUUGGCUAGGGUUAGACUGCACAGGCUAAACUAAUUCCGAUUGGCUAAUUUAAAGAGAGUGAGGGGGUGAGUGGUUUGGUGGGAAAAAUGGUUAUGACAGGAUGAGUCAGGGUGGAGCAGGUAAUCGGAAUGAGUCAGGGUGGAGCAUGUAAUCGAAAAAGGUUGCUUUACCAGGAAGUUAAGUUUAAAAGCAGAAGGCAAAUAAUUGAACAUACUGACAUAUUGAUUCUUCGAAAAUAAAUUUAGAACUUAUAUCUAACAAGAAGAAGCUAAGAGGCCAAGAAAGAGGCUGAUGUAUCCAGUUUUUCAGAAAGGAACAUUUCAUAGAGACUUAUGAACAGAAGCCAUGUCCAUGUCUUGGGCGGUAGGGAGAAAAGAUAGUGUCUGGCAUCAUUACUCCCACCACCCAGGACUUACAUACCAUAGGAAAAGCGUGACUCAGAAGGAUGUGUGGGACAACUGAAGUAUGAUAACAUUGUUACGGAAUUUCUGGGAAGGGAAGAGCGUGG